AACCAUCACCCAACCAUGGGACCACUGGUUGACCUGAGAAGCUACGUAUUGACACGGCGCUACCACGGGUGGAGGAGCCUGCAUUGCUGAAUCACAGGAUGAAGGCGAAUCCCUGCCAGCCUCCAUCCAUCUCUGGGGUGCUUAGCAGAAUCCUCAGCUCACAAGAUGAAUAAAUGCAGACUAAAUGAUGCACAAAUAAUCUUCACACACAACCAUCAACACAUGGAAAGACUGCAGGACGGCCAGAUCCCAAGCUAACAAACAGGGGAAGAUGAUGUUUCAAAUGAUCAUCUGAAUGCUGGGUUUCCACCUUCCACCAGGAAGUCAUAUGGUUGUUCAACAGUUUCGUAUCUGCCAAACCUGAGAAAAUUCUUCAUAAAAUUUCAGAGCUUUUGAGCCUCUUUGAAGUGGCAAUAUCCACAGGGGACCCGAUGUGCUCAGCUAACUUGAAAAAGAAAAAAAAUGGCAUUAUGAUACAAACAGAAAAUGUAACAGUGGAGUGCAGAAAAUACAAAAAAAAGGAAAAAAUAAAUAGAAAAUCUUCAAAGAGGCAAUCUGUUUAAAUCUUCAAGAACUGGAAACAGUAAAAGUGAACAGGUUUUUAUUGAGCAUGUCAAUAAAAUGUUUGCAUAAGACUUUACAAGUGCUUUAUUUCAUGAGGUUUUUAUUAUUGAUCAAAGCAACGAAAAUGAACGGGAAAUUCAUUCUCAUCAAAUCUACAACUUGGGAGGAGGUCCGAUGAAAUCCCUGGAAGCUCACAUUUUUUAUAAAUGAAGAGUUAAUUACCGGUGGGAACAAUGAGAACCUCUGUGGUUCUUCCUGAUGCUUGGAUCCUCCCAGACCUCUGUUUCCAGUCUCCUUCUCCACAACCUGGCCUAUGCGAUGCAAGUGGUCUAACUGAUCUCCGCCUAGGGAAGGAUCCUUCGGCAACUUGCCGACAAGAGAAGCAGCGAUGCCCGAGGCAGGUCCAAAGGAGCACUGACUGCGUGGGAUUGAUUACACUGGAGGAACAAAAGGUCCUGUGGCUACACAAGUUUGAAAAGCAGAAGGUACAAUCAUUGUAUUUCUGGCAGACUUUUCAAAGACUUUAAUAUAUGAAUCCCUCAUAUGAAUCUCCUGGAGGAUUAUAUAAUAGGCAGAUCUCCCAGCCAUUUUCACUGAACAGUUCUUAGAAUUGGUAUCCUUGAAAAAUUUCACCUAACCACUCAAUAUGGUAGCCACUAGUCCUGGGUGGCUAUUGAGCACCUGAAAUUUGCCUAGUCUGAAUUAAGACACAUUCUAAGAAUAAAGCACACUGUAUUUCAAAGGCAGUACAAAAAUAAAAAAGAAUGUAAGCUGUCUCAAUAAUAAUUUUUGUAUUGAAUACGUGUUGAAAUGAUGUUAUUUUUGAUAUAUUGAGUGAAAUAAAUUGUAUUGCUAAAA
ensembl:lncRNA CT69 cancer/testis associated transcript 69